CUGCCUGGCUCUGCUAACUUUGGGAACGGCCCUCUCUGGCUCCAGGUGGCACAAACAGUUCAGCCGAUCCACAGGUCGCCCGUUUCCUGAGAGGUUCAGACAGGAGAAUCGCUCCAGCCCAGAAGUUCUCAGCCAGCCUGGGCAACACAGGGUGGGGAGACUGAGGUGCUUCUAACCCAAGGGACCGGGGAGGCUGGAGGCCCCUCUCCCUGAUGACCGGACUUCCACCGCUGUCACAAAGAGCCCAAUGCUGGCCAGCCGCCAAAAGCCACUGUUCCCGAGCCUGUUUGUGCUGUUGAACUUGUCCUAAUUACAUUUUUAAUUAUCAAGAGCCUGGACAACCCAAAGGUGUCUGCACCACUAGAAGCCCAGUCCAGUCCAGCAAGGAUGACAACUCGGGAAAGCUGGCACCUGGAGCUCUCUGUGUAGCCCCACAGGGCUCAGGCGAAACCGCUUGACCCCCUCGGGAACUUCAACUUGUUGGUCUGCACCAUCGAUCCAAUGUCCAGCACAGGGCUGAGAGAGUUAAAGGGACAGUGGCCAGCUCCUGGUGCCCACGGGUAGGACGUCCCUCCGGCUUGUCCCCCUCUAGACGAGCCGGACCGCGCGGCCCCUUUAAGGCAGCUCUGGAUGACCCGAAGGCUAGAGCGGCCCUCUGGCGGUAGUCUCGAUGCUAAAAAUAAACUCUCCAGCCCCCAGCGACCGGCCGAAAUCACGCAGUAGCUGCUUUCUGCUCCCGGGAGAGUUCCAGGCGACCCAGGUCACUUGCCUGGAAGAUUGGUGUGUGUACACUGAGUGAAAACCAGGCCCUGCUGCGUGCACUUGGACCUGUCGGGUUUGACUCUGAUAUGUUUUGGGGGUGUUCACCGGCUUAAGACUGCUGUGUGGUGGCUGUAAAUAAAUGGCAUUUGACCAUA